rnacentral:rRNA from 1 species
UUGCGGUUAAAAAGCUCGUAGUUGGAUUUCUGUCGAAGGCGGCCGGUCUCUACUUUGUAGGUGUAUCUGGUACGGUUUUGGCAUCCUCUUGGGGAACGUGUCUGUGAUCCGUUUCAUGGCGCGGAAUUCAAGACUUUUACUUUGAGGAAAUUAGAGUGUUCACGGCAAGCUAUCGCUUUGAAUACAUUAGCAUGGAAUAAUAAUAUAGGGCAUAAGUUCUAUUUUGUUGGUUUCUAGGACAUAUGCAAUGAUUAAUAGGGACAAUUGGGGGCAUUCGUAUUAACGCGUCAGAGGUGGAAUUCUUAGAUUGCGUUACGACGAACUACUGCGAAAGCAUUUGCCAAGGAUGUUUUCAUUGAUCAAGAACGAAAGUAUGGGGAUCGAAGACGAUUAGAUACCGUCGUAGUCUAUACCAUAAACUAUGCCAAUUAGAGAUUGGAGGUCGUUCGUUUUAUGACUCCUUCAGCACCUUAUGAGAAAUCAAAAAUUUUUUGGGGUCCGGGGGAGUACGU